rnacentral:tRNA from 2 species
GGCAAGAUGGCCGAGUGGUCUAAGGCGCUGUGUUCAGGAUCUACAUCUCAUCGCAGUCUUCGGGCGUGGGUUCGAAUCCCACUCUUGUCA